AGCGAACGCUGGCGGCAGGCUUAACACAUGCAAGUCGGACGGGCAUAGCAAUAUGUCAGUGGCAGACGGGUGAGUAACGCGUGGGAACGUACCUUUUGGUUCGGAACAACACAGGGAAACUUGUGCUAAUACCGGAUAAGCCCUUACGGGGAAAGAUUUAUCGCCGAAAGAUCGGCCCGCGUCUGAUUAGCUAGUUGGUAGGGUAAUGGCCUACCAAGGCGACGAUCAGUAGCUGGUCUGAGAGGAUGAUCAGCCACAUUGGGACUGAGACACGGCCCAAACUCCUACGGGAGGCAGCAGUGGGGAAUAUUGGACAAUGGGCGAAAGCCUGAUCCAGCCAUGCCGCGUGAGUGAUGAAGGCCCUAGGGUUGUAAAGCUCUUUUGUGCGGGAAGAUAAUGACGGUACCGCAAGAAUAAGCCCCGGCUAACUUCGUG
rnacentral:rRNA from 1 species